rnacentral:rRNA from 1 species
AACGAACGCUGGCGGUGCGUCUUAAGCAUGCAAGUCGAACGGUAAGAAGAGAGCUUGCUCUUUUUCUAGAGUGGCGGACUGGUGAGUAACGCGUGGAUGAUCUACCUUUGAGAUGGGGAUAGCUUCUAGAAAUAGGAGGUAAUACCGAAUAACCUUAUUAUGUUGUGACGUAGUAAGAAAAUGGAGCGUCAGCUCCGCUCGAAGAUGAGUCUGCGUCCCAUUAGCUAGUUGGUGAGGUAAAGGCCCACCAAGGCGACGAUGGGUACCCGGCCUGAGAGGGUGAACGGGCACAUUGGGACUGAGAUACGGCCCAAACUCCUACGGGAGGCAGCAGCUGAGAAUCUUCCCCAAUGGACGAAAGUCUGACGGAGCGACACCGCGUGAACGAUGAAGGCCGGAAGGUUGUAAAGUUCUUUUGCAGACAAAGAAUAAGGAUAGAAGGAAAUGACUAUAUGAUGACGGUAGUUAUGCGAAUAAGCCCCGGCUAAUUACGUGCCAGCAGCCGCGGUAAUACAUAAGGGGCGAGCGUUGUUCGGAAUUAUUGGGCGUAAAGGGCAUGUAGGCGGUUAGGUAAGCCUGAUGUGAAAUGUAUGAGCUUAACUCAUAAACUGCAUUGGGUACUGCUUGACUUGAAUCAUGGAGGGGAAACUGGAAUUCCAAGUGUAGGGGUGGAAUCUGUAGAUAUUUGGAAGAACACCGGUGGCGAAGGCGGGUUUCUAGCCAAUGAUUGACGCUAAGGUGCGAGGGUGCGGGGAGCAAACAGGAUUAGAUACCCUGGUAGUCCGCACAGUAAACGAUGUACACUAGGUGUUGGGGUAAGACUCAGUGCCGGAGCAAACGCAAUAAGUGUACCGCCUGGGGAGUAUGCCCGCAAGGUGAAACUCAAAGAAUUGACGGGGGCCCACACAAGCGGUGGAGCAUGUGG